CGCGUAGGCGGUUUGUUUAGUUAGGCGUGAAAUUCCUGGGCUUAACCUGGGGACUGCGCUUAAUACAGGCAGACUUGAGUUCGGAAGAGGGUCGUGGAAUUCCCAGUGUAGAGGUGAAAUUCGUAGAUAUUGGGGAAAGAACACCGGUGGCGAAGGCGGCGACCUGGUCCGAUACUGACGCUGAGGCGCGAAAGCGUGGGGAGCAAACA
rnacentral:rRNA from 1 species